rnacentral:rRNA from 1 species
UAAAACUCAAAGGAAUUGACGGGGGCCCGCACAAGCGGCGGAGCAUGCGGAUUAAUUCGAUGCAACGCGAAGAACCUUACCAAGGCUUGACAUGAACCGGUAAUACCUGGAAACAGGUGCCCCGCUUGCGGUCGGUUUACAGGUGGUGCAUGGUUGUCGUCAGCUCGUGUCGUGAGAUGUUGGGUUAAGUCCCGCAACGAGCGCAACCCUCGUUCUAUGUUGCCAGCGCGUUAUGGCGGGGACUCAUAGGAGACUGCCGGGGUCAACUCGGAGGAAGGUGGGGACGACGUCAAAUCAUCAUGCCCCUUAUGUCUUGGGCUUCACGCAUGCUACAAUGGCCGGUACAAAGGGUUGCGAUACUGUGAGGUGGAGCUAAUCCCAAAAAGCCGGUCUCAGUUCGGAUUGGGGUCUGCAACUCGACCCCAUGAAGUCGGAGUCGCUAGUAAUCGCAGAUCAGCAACGCUGCGGUGAAUACGUUCCCGGGCCUUGUACACACCGCCCGUCAAGUCACGAAAGUUGGUAACACCCGAAGCCGGUGGCCUAACCCUUGUGGGGGGAGCCGUCGAAGGUGGGACCGGCGAUUGGGACUAAGUCGUAACAAGGUAGCCGUACCGGAAGGUGCGGCUGGAUCACCUCCU